UCAAAACAAAUUAGGAAGGGCAAAAGGCCACCGAGAAGGAAGCAUACGUGUCUCGAGAAGGAGAAGGAGAAGGAGAAGGGAGGGGGGAAAGAGAAAGAUCACGAGUCGAUAUUCUCCAAAGGAUCAUAACAAAUUCGGGUGCGAGCCUAACCGACAGUGAGGAAGGAGCUACGCUUUCAAACCGGAGCAACCAAGAGUUGCUUGCAAUAUUAAGCGAGCUUUCGCUAGGGCUCGUAAUUAAAGCACUGAAUUAUUCGUCGACUUGUUAAAGCUGGUGCGAACGUCGUUAGUACUGACGACUGGCCUCCAACAUAAAUACCGACUUAACGUUCCUGAAUUAUACGUCCUACUGUACUUCGUUGGAGGAAGAUCGUUCGAUUUUUAUGAUAAAACUCUCUGGAAAGUCGAUAACUGGCCGCAGGCUGAGGAGAAAGUUGCUUAUGAAAUUUCGAGGAGCCAGAGCGACCAAGGUAUCUUGCGAGGACAUGGAAGAUCCUUUAGGAGGAUAAUGGCUUAGCGAAGGGCGCUUUUGGAUGGGAUGGUUGGUGCCUGGUGGGUAAGGCUUGAGUUGAGUUGCUUCAAGAAGGAUAGUUAAAGUUGCCGUGCUCGUUCAUGGGGCCCGGUCUACAUAAAUAGCACUUGUGUCCAGAGUAAAAAGAGAGAAAGAGAAAAAAAAAGAGUUCAAAAUUGCUCGGCCGAUCACAAUCGAUACUUUUUCUUUCUUUUUCUCUUUCCAGUUAUUUAGUGAUUAAAAUGAAGGAUUACGUACUUAACCUACAUACGUACGUGAGCUCGAUUGCUUUUCGUUGCAACUUUUCGACAAAAACGAUUGUAUUUAUUUGAAAUAAAAAUUAAUAGCCCGUUCAUUCCGAUCAGAAA